UUUUAAUAGCUUAUACAGAGCAUGAUAUUGAAGAUAUCAGUGAGACUUUUAGUCUUAAAAUAU
rnacentral:tRNA from 1 species